rnacentral:rRNA from 1 species
UACAGAGGGUGCGAGCGUUGUCCGGAAUUACUGGGCGUAAAGGCUCGUAGGCGGCCAACUAAGUCAUACGUGAAAUCCCUCAGCUUAACUGGGGGAACUGCGUGUGAUACUGGAUGGCUUGGAUUUGGGGAGAGGGAUGCGGAAUUCCAGGUGUAGCGGUGAAAUGCGUAGAUAUCUGGAGGAACACCAAAGGCGAAGGCAGCAUCCUGGACCAACACUGAGCACUGAGGAGCGAAAGCCAAGGGGAGCAAACGGGG